CGCAUCAGCCAUGGCGCGGUGAAUACGUUCCCGGGCCUUGUACACACCGCCCGUCAAGCCAUGGGAGCCGGGGGUACCUGAAGUCCGUAACCGAAAGGAUCGGCCUAGGGUAAAACUGGUGACUGGGGCUAAGUCGUAACAAGGUACC
rnacentral:rRNA from 1 species